CAGCCAGUGUUAGAGUCAUCUGCAGCAAAUGUGGGAAAAAGAGUCGUCCCGUCCUGCGAACUUAUACAAGAAGAUUGGCUACUUCGAAAACUGGAGCAGCUUGUUUGCUAACUUGUUGGCCACUGUGCUUCCUGCCCUGUCUCACCAAGAACAUCCAGCAGCAGUUUCUUUACUGCAGCAAAUGUGAUUACUGUUUGGGUGAAUUUCAGCAGAGAAAGCGUUGAGGAAAUUCAAGAAAUGCUUAUGCCCUCUCAUUUUGAAAUUUGUGCUACUUUCAAGAAAAUUUUAUGUGAAUAUCAAAAUUUUUUGUAAAUAGGGUAAAUUAAGCUAAUUCUAAACCUACUCCAAAUGGAAAUUUUUCACUACUCCAAAUGGAAACGUCACUGUUUUCAUGAUAAAUACAGUACUAAAUCACUAUAUUUAUAUAUUUUCUAUACCACAGUUUCAUUAUUUAGUUAAUUUUGCUCUAAAUAAAGCAAAAAUCCAUUCAUAUUCACAAAUUUUAAUUUGUCAAUUUCUCAGAAAAAUUAAAAGUGUUGAUUUUCACCAUCGAAUUUUUCAUAGAUCGACCACGCUUUCCAAUGAAAAACACAAUAAAGUGACUGUAGUUUAUUCGUUUUGUUUAACAUUUAUGUCAUAUUUCUGGCUAAUUUUAGUUAAAUUAAGUGCUAAUCUUUAUUGUUAACGGUAAGUGGAGUUUACAAAUGAAAUAAUUACCUAUUUCGUGAACAAAAAGGGUUUUUCUGAAGUAUCUGCAAAUGCUUCAAUAAAAAACCCCGGAAAUAUGAUUUUUUUGAGAGAUUUUAUUGUUUUAGAUGGGAAAGGAUAAAAGACCAGGAAUAAGAACAAAUCCUGCACUCAAGAGCAACUCAACAAGGAUUUGGAAGCCUUUCGUCGCGGUUUCAGUUACACUGUUUGUCUCCAAUUGGAAACUUUUCCUUGUCUCCAUUUGGAUUAAUAUGUUUUCAAUAGAAGUAUUAUACACUUGUGUAUUUUUCUUGUAUUUAUAAAGUUUUCAAAUUAUAUCUAAAGAAUUUUCACUAAACAGUAACAUUCUAGAAGAGUCAAGGGGCAAAUUUAUGUAAUUCUCUUCAGAAAAAAUAUAAAUUUAAUGUGUUGAAUCUUCUGUCAAAGUUAAAGCGUCUGGAAAUGGUUUUGAAUUAAGACAUUUACCCUAAACCAAUUUUAUAUUUCUAGUCACAAAAUCUCUGAAGACUAAGCACACUCUAACAACGGCUUAUACGGGUUUCAGACCUAAGGCUUAGCCAUAUGGUUUAACUUCUCUAACUUCUUAUCAAUAAAGAUUUUUCAUAAAA